rnacentral:rRNA from 1 species
AACGAACGCUGGCGGCAUGCCUAACACAUGCAAGUCGAACGAGACCUUCGGGUCUAGUGGCGCACGGGUGCGUAACGCGUGGGAACCUGCCCUUAGGUUCGGAAUAACUCCCCGAAAGGGGUGCUAAUACCGGAUAAUGUCUUCGGACCAAAGAUUUAUCGCCCUUGGAUGGGCCCGCGUUGGAUUAGCUAGUUGGUAGGGUAAAAGCCUACCAAGGCGACGAUUCAUAGAUGGUAUGAGAGGAUGAUCAGCCACACUGGGACUGAGACACGGCCCAGACUCCUACGGGAAGCAGCAGUGGGGAAUAGUGGACAAUGGGCGAAAGCCUGAUGCAGCAAUGCCGCGUGAGUGAUGAAGGCCUUAGGGUUGUAAAGCUCUUUUACCCGGGAUGAUAAUGACAGUACCGGGAGAAUAAGCUCCGGCUAACUCCGUG